UAGUGUAGGUGUAAUAGUGUAGUGUAGGUGUAAUAGUGUAGGUGUAAUAGUGUAGGUGUAGUAGUGUAGGUGUAGUAGUGUAGGUGUAAUAGUGUAGUGUAGGUGUAAUAGUGUAGGUGUAGUAGUGUAGUGUAGGUGUAGUAGUGUAGUGUAGGUGUAAUAGUGUAGUGUAGGUGUAGUAGUGUAGGUGUAGUAGUGUAGGUGUAAUAGUGUAGGUGUAAUAGUGUAGUGUAGGUGUAAUAGUGUAGGUGUAGUAGUGUAGGUGUAGUAGUGUAGGUGUAAUAGUGUAGUGUAGGUGUAGUAGUGUAGGUGUAAUAGUGUAGGUGUAGUAGUGUAGGUGUAAUAGUGCAGUGUAGGUGUAAUAGUGUAGGUGUAGUAGUGUAGGUGUAAUAGUGUAGUGUAGGUGUAAUAGUGUAGGUGUAAUAGUGUAGGUGUAGUAGUGUAGGUGUAGUAGUGUAGGUGUAAUAGUGUAGGUGUAGUAGUGUAGGUGUAGUAGUGUAGGUGUAAUAGUGUAGUGUAGGUGUAGUAGUGUAGGUGUAGUAGUGUAGGUGUAAUAGUGUAGUGUAGGUGUAGUAGUGUAGGUGUAAUAGUGUAGUGUAGGUGUAAUAGUGUAGGUGUAGUAGUGUAGGUGUAAUAGUGUAGGUGUAAUAGUGUAGUGUAGGUGUAAUAGUGUAGGUGUAGUAGUGUAGGUGUA